GUCUUAAGCAUGCAAGUCGAACGGCAGUGCAGGAGCUUGCUUUUGCAUUAGAGUGGCGGAUUGGUGAGUAACGCGUGGGUUAUCUACCUUUAAGUUGGGGAUAGCCGCUAGAAAUAGCGGAUAAUACCGAAUGUGCCUUUAUUUUUUUUAUUAAGGUGAAGGGAAAGGAGCUACGGCUUCGCUUGAAGAUGAGCCCGCGUCUCAUUAGCUUGUUGGUACGGUAAAGGCGUACCAAGGCGAUGAUGAGUAUCCGGCCUGAGAGGGUGGACGGACACAUUGGGACUGAGAUACGGCCCAAACUCCUACGGGAGGCAGCAGCUAAGAAUCUUCCGCAAUGGACGCAAGUCUGACGGAGCGACACCGCGUGGAUGAUUGAAGGCCGAAAGGUUGUAAAAUCCUUUUGUAGACGAAGAAUAAGAAGAUGAGGGAAUGCGUUUUCGAUGACGGUAGUUAUACGAAUAAGCCCCGGCUAAUUACGUGCCAGCAGCCGCGGUAACACGUAAGGGGCGAGCGUUGUUCGGAAUUAUUGGGCGUAAAGGGCAUGCAGGCGGUUUUGUCAGCCUGAUGUGAAAUACCGAGGCUUAACUUCGGAUGUGCAUUGGGUACUGCAAAUCUUGAAUCAUGAAAGGGGAAAUCGGAAUUCCGGGAGUAGGGGUGGAAUCUGUAGAUAUCCGGAAGAACACCGGUGGCGAAGGCGGAUUUCCAGUCGAUGAUUGACGCUGAGGUGCGAAAGUGUGGGGAGCAAACAGGCUUAGAUACCCUGGUAGUCCACACGGUAAACGAUGUACACUAGGUGUUGGGACAAUAGUUUCAGCGCCGUAGCAAACGUGAUAAGUGUACCGCCUGGGGAGUAUGCCGGCAACGGUGAAACUCAAAGGAAUUGACGGGGGCUCACACAAGCGGUGGGGCAUGUGGUUUAAUUCGAUGAUACGCGAGGAACCUUACCCGGGUUUGACAUUCUAAGGGAUGAUAUAGAGAUAUAUCAGCAUAGCAAUAUGUCUUAGAACAGGUGUUGCAUGGCUGUCGUCAGCUCGUGCCGUGAGGUGUUGGGUUAAGUCCCGCAACGAGCGCAACCCCUACUGCUGGUUACUAACAGGUAAAGCUUGAGGACUCUAGCGGAACUGCCGGUGAUAAACCGGAGGAAGGUGGGGACGACGUCAAGUCAUCAUGACCCUUAUGUCCGGGGCUACACACGUGCUACAAUGGUUGCUACAAAGCGCAGCUAGACCGCGAGGUUCGGCGAAUCGCAAAAAAGCAAUCGUAGUUCGGAUUGGAGUCUGAAACUCGACUCCAUGAAGUUGGAAUCGCUAGUAAUCGCACAUCAGCACGGUGCGGUGAAUAUGUUCCUGAGCCUUGUACACACCGCCCGUCACACCAUCUGAGUUAAGGGUACCCGAAGUCGCUUGUUUAACCUGUACGGGAGGACGGUGCC
rnacentral:rRNA from 1 species